AGAGUUUGAUCCUGGCUCAGAGCGAACGCUGGCGGCAGGCCUAACACAUGCAAGUCGAGCGCCGUAGCAAUACGGAGCGGCAGACGGGAGAGUAACACGUGGGAACGUGCCCUUCAGUUCGGAACAACCCAGGGAAACUUGGGCUAAUACCGGAUACGUCCGUAAGGAGAAAGAUUUAUCGCUGAAGGAUCGGCCCGCGUCUGAUUAGCUAGUUGGUGGGGUAACGGCUCACCAGGGCGACGAUCAGUAGCUGGUCUGAGAGGAUGAUCAGCCUCACUGGGACUGAGACACGGCCCAGACUCCUACGGGAGGCAGCAGUGGGGAAUAUUGGACAAUGGGCGCAAGCCUGAUCCAGCCAUGCCGCGUGGAUGAUGAAGGCCCUAGGGUUGUAAAGUCCUUUCAGCGGGGAAGAUAAUGACGGUACCCGCAGAAGAAGCCCCGGCUAACUUCGUGCCAGCAGCCGCGGUAAUACGAAGGGGGCUAGCGUUGCUCGGAAUCACUGGGCGUAAAGCGCACGUAGGCGGCUUUUUAAGUCAGGGGUGAAAUCCUGGAGCUCAACUCCAGAACUGCCUUUGAUACUGAGAAGCUUGAGUCCGGGAGAGGUGAGUGGAACUGCGAGUGUAGAGGUGAAAUUCGUAGAUAUUCGCAAGAACACCAGUGGCGAAGGCGGCUCACUGGCCCGGUACUGACGCUGAGAUGCGAAAGCGUGGGGAGCAAACAGGAUUAGAUACCCUAGUAGUCC
rnacentral:rRNA from 1 species